GUGAGGAAUAUUGGUCAAUGGACGAGAGUCUGAACCAGCCAAGUCGCGUGAAGGAAGACGGAUCUAUGGUUUGUAAACUUCUUUAGUGCGGGAACAAAGCGGCGUCGUGACGCCGGAUGAGUGUACCGCAAGAAUAAGCAUCGGCUAACUCCGUGCCAGCAGCCGCGGUAAUACGGAGGAUGCGAGCGUUAUCCGGAUUUAUUGGGUUUAAAGGGAGCGCAGGCUGCGAGGCAAGUCAGCGGUCAAAUGUCGGGGCUCAACCCCGGCCUGCCGUUGAAACUGUCUUGCUAGAGUUCGAGUGAGGUAUGCGGAAUGCGUUGUGUAGCGGUGAAAUGCAUAGAUAUGACGCAGAACUCCGAUUGCGAAGGCAGCAUACCAACUCGCGACUGACGCUGAGGCUCGAAAGCGUGGGUAUCGAACAGGAUUAGAAACCCCAGUAGUCC
rnacentral:rRNA from 1 species